GUCAUGCUCAGGAUGAACGCUAGCUACAGGCUUAACACAUGCAAGUCGAGGGGCAGCAUGAACUUAGCUUGCUAAGUUUGAUGGCGACCGGCGCACGGGUGAGUAACACGUAUCCAACCUGCCGAUGACUCGGGGAUAGCCUUUCGAAAGAAAGAUUAAUACCCGAUGGCAUAGUUCUUCCGCAUGGUAGAACUAUUAAAGAAUUUCGGUCAUCGAUGGGGAUGCGUUCCAUUAGG
rnacentral:rRNA from 1 species